GCCCCCAUAACUCAAUGGUAGAGUAACUGCCUUUUAAGCAGUAAGUCUAGGUUCGACUCCUAGUGGGGGCACAA
rnacentral:tRNA from 2 species